CUCUCGCAAGCACAAUGAAAAUUUUCUGCUAUGAAUCGAGGACACGAUUUACAUCAUGCUGCAACCUAGAGCCAUGAAGAGGUUAAUGAACAACUUAAUUUAGGCGAGAAUAAUCAUCGAUGAAGACCCGAGGCAUGUGAAGAAGCUGUUUGACAAUGAUAAGGUGUAUCCUUGGCUCUCAUGUCCUAGGGGUAGUCAAGUGUUUAAUAUCUACGCCUAAGUACGUAGAAAUUUAUCAAGCUUUUUGGCUGGAUGCCUCCUUGCGUUGGACUAGAAAUUGUCCAAAAUGCAGAGGGAUAUCAGGGUUUUGACUUCUAUCGGGAACAGGGAAUUUUUUUUUUUAGCUUUGAUGUAUUAUAUUACUCACGCUGGAAGAGGAUUUGACAUAUAUUUUUUGCUUUCUUGUUAAAGUUGCGAGUAAAUAACAGAGUGUUUUUCUUGAUCGUUUUUGAGUAUGAUGAAGUGGCUUAUAAUAGGUAAAUUUAGAGUAGACAUAGCAACUAAUAUUUUUAAAGGGUUUUAAUUGCUGCAUUUCCUUAUACAGAUGUGUAUUAAGCAUAAUUAUUAAGAUGAUCGUAUAAAUAAAUACAAUUUUUUU